ACGGACCUUGAGAGUGUGGACGCGGAAGCGGAGAAGAAAAGAGACUGUAAGAUGCCAGACGGAGACCACUGUUGAAUCGGCGCCGCAUUUUCUAACUCCCAUGACAUCCCUUCCCCAGUUGAAUGUCCCACGGGAAGCCAGUGGUAUCAGUUCUGAUGAGCUUGCUGCAACAAAAGGUUGUGUUGUACCCUCGCACACACCCGGCACAUCUUCAGGGACACCUCACCUUGCAGCGCUCCUCAAGAUAUCAGUCCAUUGGCUGAACCCCUUCAAAGUGACACAGUAAAAGAUUCUAGUACACGCCAAACCCAUGCCUCUGGAUCUGGUACUAGCCACAGGCGGGGACGUCCCCGAAAACAAAUAAUACCUCGAACUGCCUCCCUCAUUCAUCAGCUUCAAGCAUCAAGGGAGCACCUACGACGUGCACUGUUUCGAAGCCGCGCAACUAUGCAUUUUGGGGGCCUCAUAAGAAGCCAGAUAGUGUUUGCAGCAUCACGGUAUUUGUCAAAACGUGCUCUUAGUCUAUUCCGUGUUCAGCUAUUUCUGCAGCCAUUGAACAAGUUUGGCAGGAGGUGGCCCCGCAAUUUAGGAGCUUUGCUCUUCACUUGCAUUUCAAGGGUCCUCAAGCUUAUCGCUACUUAAGUAAAGUGCUGGCAUUGCCAUCCGAGAGUUCUCUGAAGCUAAAGGACAUCGCUGGAGUCAUGCCUUCGGUCCUUCAAGGACUUAAGACAAGACUCCAAGGACUACCACCAAAAGAUCGUACAUGCACAUGAUAUUUGAUGAAAGGUCCAUAAAGAAACAUCUGCAGUACGAUUCUGGAUCAGACGUAGUUUAUGGUUUUGUGGACACAGGAAAGGAAAGGAACUCUGAGAUGGCAAAAUCAGCACUUCUUGUAGUGCUCUCAGGGUUAACAAAAGCAUGGGUACAGUCCGUGUCGCACAUUUUUUCAAGAUCUACCGUGUCAGCAGAUAUUCUCAAUGAUUUGCUUCAAGACUUGAUUAGACAGCUUCAUUCAUUCGAUGUUUUCGUGAAAGCGAUUGUCUGUGAUCAGGAUGCCAGCAAUUGUGCAUUGUGUAGACGACUUGAAAUUUCCCCAUCAAAACCAUAUUUUUGUGUUGUUGAGUCAAACGUCUACUUUAUUUUGAUCCACCACAUUUGAGGAACUGGGUUUUCCGAAGACUUUCCAGACGAAUUUCGGCUCAGUUCCCCCUGAAGUCGGCCCAGGACGCAUACUAACCCCCCUGUCCCACACUCCUUCCUGUUGUCCUCUCUCCAUCUAUCCACGUCUGUACGCCGCUCAUAGCCACAGUUGCUUCGCGGCGCUAACACAGAAUAAUAAUAAUAACAUUUGAUGAAGACUACACGGAACAUGUUGUUGAAGCAUGACCUGCAGAUUGGAGAUGGCCCAACAGAAGGUUCAGUGGAACUUCAUUAAAGAGUUCUAUGAAUCAAACUUCCCCCUAAAGGUACGACUGGUACCUAAGUUGACAGACGACCACAUUCACCCGACGGUGUUCUGUCGCAUGAAGGUCAAAUUUGCAACACAAGUACUCAACAAUAGUCUUUCCACUGGGAUCGCUGUCCUUAUUAGCGCUGGGUACACGCAUCCAGCAGCCAGUGCGACGUCAGACUUCCUCCUUAGGAUGGACGUACUGUUUGAUUGCUUAAACAGUUAAUCCAUUCAGCAGGGUGAUGACAAAAAAAUGAGAUUUGCAAUCAGUGAUUCCAUCAAACAUAAGGAAUUAGUCUGCAGUACAGUGGAUUGCAUAGUGGAAAUUUGACAGUGAUAGGCAACCUCCUACUGUUAGGGGGUGGCAAAUCACAAUUUGUGCAAUACUUGCGUUGUGGGAGGACCUUCGCCAAAAUUUUGGUUCCGAACAUCUGCUGACACGGUGGCUCAACCAGGACCCUGUGGAAAACAUGUUUGGUCAAUUCCGGCAAAUGCACGGGUAUAAUGAGACACCAAGCGCGUUUCAGUUCGUAGCAGGCCUCAAGCAUACCCUUGCGAGGAACCUCAUGAAGCUUCCAAGCAAAGGCAAUUGUGAGGCUGAUACGACUGAACUUUUAAACGAUCUGUUGCACAUGCCGGUUUCCUCAACUGCAAGCAGUUCUUAUGAGCAUGCCGACUCCCAAGGGUUGCCUGCAGUUGAGGAAAUGCAGGCUGAACACGAUAUGCGUGAUGUGCGAAAGCCCGACAACAAGGCUAAUGCACAGUACGCAUACGCAGGGUCCUUGGUUCACUCUUUCUUGAAGAAAUCGGAAUGUCCCAACUGCCCAAAUUUGUUGAAGGCUGCAGAUGAGGGGCUUCUAAGACCAGAAGGCUGGUACACUUACUUGCAAAGUGAAUCACAAAUGGCUGGCAGUACAUUUUGCAUCCCAUCAGAUGCCUUCUUUGCAUGCCUUUUGCAAGUUAGAAAGCAUAUUCUUACGAGAGGUUGCAAAUACUCUACACAGAAAAGGAGUAAAGCAGUGCCUCAUAAGUGCAUUCACUCAGAGCAGUCAUGAUGAGCGUUUCUGUUGUGCAGCAUGUCAAGCCCAUUUCAUAUCUUUUUUUGCCAUAAAGCGGAUGCAAUACCAUAUCAGACUUAAAAACAGAGAGUCUGCUGAGGCUGCUCACAGAAGGUCAGAGCAGAGAAAGCGAAAAAAGCUUCUAACGUAAUUGCAAUUCCAUCAGUAGCUUCACAUGAAAAGUUCAGCACACGAAAGAAAACAGGAAGCACUUAUGAGUCCUACUGAACGCUCUGUUGAUGACCCCACGCUUGACAUACUGCAUGACAACUCUGAAGGUUAUUUUACUUAUGCCAGACAUCCUCUACAACCAAAGCCUGUUAUAUGCAAAUGGGGUUCUGUUUUUCCUUUGAGAUGCAUAGUGUUGAUGGAAAAAGUAUCAAAAUAUGUACCUGUGUUGUAUGAUCCUUUGGUACGUAUUCUAGAGUGAAAUGUCGCAUCUCAAAAACUACUUUAAAGCAAAAUAGUUCACGUUUACUUUACUUUAUUUUGCAUAUUCUUAACACUGUGAUAAACAGGGAUCCUAAUUUUCCACACCACAAAUAUUCAAGCUACAUACGAAAACAUUGACAAAUUCUGUUUCCUUCCAAUGCAGAAAUGACACUGGUCACAUGGUGACAUACUUUUGUAAUGCAUAGUUUGCACGAAAACUUUGCCAGUAUGGUGAAACUUUAACUUCACAUAUUCAGUCACAAUAUUUUUUUACUUGUACCACCAGCACAUAAGCAUCCGUAUGCAGCACAAAUCAUUUUCCUCUUACAUUUUCAUAUUUAAUUUUCUCAGGUUCAAGAAACCAAAGAUUAUAUCCAUCCCUGCUUUGUGUAACUUUACGCAGUGAGAAGCUCUCAAAAAAGGUUAGCAUUAGAGCUAGCUAUAGUUUUGGCAGGGUAGAUCGGUGAAUGAAUCUUUACAUAAUCAGAGGAUGUGCCUUUUUGAUUUUGUGAUGCUGUUGCUAUGAUUGGCUACAACAAUGUGAGAACUGCAUUACGCAGCCCUCCUCAGCUGUAAUGCCGUAGGAAUUGGCAGUCAUUUGAAAGUGUGGAAACGGCAUUUUGUGUCUCUCAUCAGCCAAGCAAAGAUUUUUGAGUCGCAGUACUUACUGAAAAACAUCCACGUUCUACCACCACUUCCCUGACCAACAAAGUCAUACGAUCCUUGGCAGUGGCUUUGCUUAUGAUAUUGUUUAUACACUGUGUUAUAGUCGUUAUUUUGACGUCAUAAUCCUGGACAGCUUGUUUUGGAGUUUGAGGCUAUGACGAUAUAGCACACUGUUUUAUUGUGUUUCAGGACCAAUAUAAUGUUACCCGUGCAUUGCGUAUCCUUGUGUACAUAGCAUGUUCUCAUUCCUUCCUGUACAGAUGAAAGCUGUGUAACUUCCUGUUUCGUUGCUGUACAAAUGAAUCCUGUGAAAGCCUGCGUAAUCCUUUUAUGCAGAUAAUGCACUGGU